rnacentral:tRNA from 1 species
GCCUGGGUGGCUCAGUCGGUUGAGCAUCCGACUUAAGCUCAGGUCAUGAUCUCAUGGUUCAUGAGUUCGAGCCCCCACCUCGGGCU